UUCCCCCCGCACCAAGGACGCCGCAGCCGGUCGGUGCAGCUGCGCGAGUCGGCCAUGAGGACGGGCGCCGGCAGGUGGCCGGUGGCGCGUCGCCCCCGGGCGAUGUUCCGCCGGUUGUUAGCCUGCCCGUCCGUGGCGCGACGCCCGACCGAGGUUUUGAACGGUCCCCUUCCUGGGGACCCGCCGUCCCCUUCCUCCUCUCGAGGGAGCGGGCGCCCCGGCAGGCGGUUCUCGCCGCCGUCGAGUCACUCCCCGUAGUGGCCGGCGCUCCGAGUCCGCCGCUGGCCGGGCGCGUCCCGCAGGGGCGCAGGCGGCUCGCGGCGAGUAGGUCGGUCACCCACCCGACCCGUCUUGAAACACGGACCAAGGAGUCUAACAUGUGCGCGAGUCACGGGGUCUUGUUCAGGCCCAGAGGCGCAAUGAAAGUGAAGGCCGGCCCCCGCGGCCGGCCGCGUUGGGACUCCCCGAUCGYUUACCGCGAGGCGGGGAGGCACCAACGGCCCGUCCUGUCCGAUUCAUCGGUUGGGCGGAGUCCGAGCGUACACGUUGGGACCCGAAAGAUGGUGAACUAUGCCUGGGCAGGACGAAGCCAGAGGAAACUCUGGUGGAGGUCCGUAGCGGUUCUGACGUGCAAAUCGAUCGUCAGACCUGGGUAUAGG
rnacentral:rRNA from 1 species